AUUGAACGCUGGCGGCAUGCCUUACACAUGCAAGUCGAACGGCAGCGGACCUUCGGGUGCCGGCGAGUGGCGAACGGGUGAGUAAUGCAUCGGAACGUACCUUUCGGUGGGGGAUAACGUAGCGAAAGUUACGCUAAUACCGCAUAUUUUGUGAGCAGGAAAGCAGGGGAUCGCAAGACCUUGCGCUGAUUGAGCGGCCGAUGUCAGAUUAGCUAGUUGGUGAGGUAAAGGCUCACCAAGGCGACGAUCUGUAGCGGGUCUGAGAGGAUGAUCCGCCACACUGGAACUGAGACACGGUCCAGACUCCUACGGGAGGCAGCAGUGGGGAAUUUUGGACAAUGGGGGCAACCCUGAUCCAGCCAUGCCGCGUGAGUGAAGAAGGCCUUCGGGUUGUAAAGCUCUUUCGGCCGGGAAGAAAUCGCACGGGCUAAUACCCUGUGUGGAUGACGGUACCGGAAUAAGAAGCACCGGCUAACUACGUGCCAGCCGCCGCCGUAAUAC
rnacentral:rRNA from 1 species